rnacentral:rRNA from 1 species
GGGUGAGUAACACGUGGAUAACCUACCUAUAAGACUGGGAUAACUACGGGAAACCGGAGCUAAUACCGGAUAAUAUAUUGAACCGCAUGGUUCAAUAGUGAAAGACGGUUUUGCUGUCACUUAUAGAUGGAUCCGCGCCGCAUUAGCUAGUUGGUAAGGUAACGGCCUACCAAGGCAACGAUGCGUAGCCGACCUGAGAGGGUGAUCGGCCACACUGGAACUGAGACACGGUCCAG